UACGGAGGGUGCGAGCGUUGUCCGGAAUCACUGGGCGUAAAGGGCGCGUAGGCGGCGCGGGGAGUCAACGGUGAAAGCUCGGCGCUCAACGCCGAGUCGGCCGUCGAUACUCCCGUGCUCGAGCACUGUAGAGGCAGGUGGAAUUCCGGGUGUAGCGGUGGAAUGCGUAGAGAUCCGGAAGAACACCGGUGGCGAAGGCGGUCUGCUGGGCAGUUGCUGACACUGAGGCGCGACAGCGUGGGGAGCAAACAGG
rnacentral:rRNA from 1 species